rnacentral:rRNA from 1 species
UGCCAGCCGCCGCGGUAAUACGGAGGGUGCAAGCGUUAAUCGGAAUUACUGGGCGUAAAGCGCGCGUAGGCGGCUAAAUGAGUCAGAUGUGAAAGCCCCGGGCUCAACCUGGGAACGGCAUUUGAUACUGUUUAGCUAGAGUCUGUCAGAGGGUGGCGGAAUUCCGGGUGUAGCGGUGAAAUGCGUAGAUAUCCGGAGGAACACCGGUGGCGAAGGCGGCUAACUGGCUCGGUACUGACGCUGAGAUGCGAAAGCGUGGGGAGCAAACAGGAUUAGAUA